GAUUUUGAUGCAGUCAUGAACAAGUAAAUUUGAACUUUUCUAUUAUUUUAUGCUUUUUGUCUUUUUUCUCCCUUAUUCUUUGUUUAUAUUUUGAGAUCUCAUUGCUAUUUACUAAACUGAUUUAACCUUACCUUUAAUGAAAAAGACCAUAUCUAUCUUCUUUUGCUUAGUGGUUUUAAUAGAUUGAAAUGGCUUGUUACUCUCAGCAAUGUUGUGUUGUUUAUGUUUUUGUAUUUAACCUCCAGGGGUUUCUUCCAUGGAUACUCAUU
rnacentral:misc_RNA from 1 species